rnacentral:pre_miRNA from 1 species
GGGGGGAGGCCGGAUCCUGGGCUGUGUCCCGGCGCCCUGUACUCCGUGUCUGCGCUGUUGGAUUCGUGCUCCCAGCCAUGCAGCCCCCU